rnacentral:lncRNA from 1 species
GACAGCGGCAGCACGCGCGCGCGCGCUCGAGCGCGCGCGUGUGUGUGCGCGAGAGCGCGUGUGUGCAUUAAAGAGACAGGGGUUUAUUUCCAACAGGUCUUCCUUAAUUUCCCGGGAACGUCUGUGGAAAGGCCAGAGGGACCUGCAGACUCUAGGGUGCAUGCCUUGGCUCUGGGCGCCUGAGCAGCACGGCGUUGACCCAGGGUAGUCACCCCACCACCGUGGUCUCCCCGCUGCUCCUGCGAACCAGUGGCUGUCUCUCCAAUCCCCAUUUUCUUCCCCCGGGUAACAGCACAGGAAUAGUUGUGUCCUGCCUGUAAGAAACAUUUUUCUUUCCAUUCCUCUAUGCUCUAGCAGUUGCUCUGGAGUGGGAGGGGGUGUGUCCAUCCCUGGGACCUGGCUCGAGGACCUCCCGCGGCGCCGGGAGCACGUUCCCAGGGACUGGAACUCUCGGGACUGCCCAUGCUUUGUCCUCUGGCCCGCGCGGCCGGUGGGUGAGGUGGACGCCUCGGCGCCUUCCUCGCCCCGGGCCCCGGUACUCCCCUCUGGGGACUGGAACGUCCCCGAGUCUGGCUCCUCGUUCUUUAUUCCUUGGCCUCUGUCUCCGCCACCCUGGGGGGCCUAGACUCCGUGCUUCCAGUUGGCAAUCACUUGCCAGGGUGCUCAGAUCCCAGCACCCACCCCCCCCGCCCCCGCUCGGCCUUAGGGGUGCCCUCUGGCCUGGGCCUCUUCCCUCGCCCUUGCUCCCUCUCUCCAGGCUACCCCGGCCGCGGGAGGCCCCAGAGCUGCCUUUCCGGACCCGUAACCCUCCAAACUUGGGCUGGACUCCGUUUUGCCGCGCGC